GGUCAAGCUACUAAGGGCGCACGGUGGAUGCCUUGGCAGAAUCAGGCGAUGAAGGACGUGGCAAGCUGCGAUAAGCUUCGGGGAGCCGCACACAGGCGUUAUAUCCGAAGAUCUCCGAAUGGGGAAACCCACAUGAGCAAACCUCAUGUACGGCCCGCUGAAUACAUAGGCGGGCACGAGCGAACCCAGGGAAGUGAACCAUCUCAGUACCUGGAGGAAAAGAAAGAAACCUCGAUUCCGAAAGUAGUGGCGAGCGAAAUCGGAACAGCCCAAACCCGUGAUAUUUCGGUAUUGCGGGGGUUGUAGGGUCUGCAACAGUAGAGUUACCAAUCCUCUGGUUAGUCGAAUCCGUUGGAAAGCGGAUCCAUAGAGCGUGACAGACGCGUAGGCGAAAACCAUGAGGACUCGAAGCAGAUACCUGAGUAAGGCGGGGCACGUGAAACCCUGCUUGAAUCCGCGGAGACCAUUCCGCAAGGCUAAAUACUCGAUUCUGACCGAUAGUGAACCAGUACCGUGAGGGAAAGGUGAAAAGCACCCCUGCGAGGGGAGUACAAAGUACCUGAAACCGUGUGCCUACAAGCAGUGGGAGGACUAUGCCCGCAAGGGAAUGUCUGACCGCGUGCCUAUUGCAUAAUGAGCCGGCUAGUUAUUCUUGUCAGCAAGGUUAAGCGUAAGCGAGCCGAAGCGAAAGCGAGUCUGAAUAGGGCGUUAAGUUGGCAGGAAUAGACGCGAAGCGGGAUGAUCUACCCUUGGCCAGGUUGAAGAUGGGGUAACACCCAUUGGAGGACCGAACCGGUGUUUGUUGAAAAAAGCUCGGAUGAGCUGAGGGUAGGGGUGAAAGGCUAAUCAAAUUCCGUGAUAGCUCGUUCUCUCCGAAAUAGCUUUAGGGCUAGCCUCGGAUGAUUUGCAGUGGUGGUAGAGAUCUGGAUGGACUAGGGGGCUUUCCGGCUUACUGAAUCCAACCAAACUUCGAAUGCCACUGACAACCAGUCCGGGAGUCAGACUGUGGGGGCUAAGCUUCACAGUCGAGAGGGAAACAGCCCAGACCGCCUGCUAAGGUCCCCAAGUUACAGUUAAGUGGGAAAGGAAGUCGGAACGCUCAGACAGCCAGGAGGUUGGCUUAGAAGCAGCCAUCCUUUAAAGAAAGCGUAAUAGCUCACUGGUCAAGCGGUCCGGUGCCGACAAUACAACGGGGCUAAAACUGUACACCGAAGCAGCGGAUGCACACCUAUGGUGUGCGUGGUAGGAGAGCAUUCUCAACAGCGUUGAAGUCAGACCGAGAGGAUUGAUGGAGCGUUGCGAAGAGACCCUGCCGGCAUAAGUAGCGAUAAUGAAUGUGAGAACCAUUCACGCCGAAAGUCUAAGGUUUCCUGAGGAAGGUUAAUCCGCUCAGGGUCAGGCGGUCCCUAAGGCGAGGCCGAGAGGCGUAGCUGAUGGACAUCCGGUUAAUAUUCCGGACCUCCCAACUCUCGUUUGACGAUGGGGAGACGCAGAAGGAUAGGCAGGUCGUCAUAUGGCUAUGGCGGUCGAUACGCGUAAGCUGGUGCCGGGAGGCAAAUCCCCCGGUGCUUAACAGUGAGGCGUAAAGCAAGCCCGUAUGGGUGUAAGCUGCCGAGUUCACGCUGCCGAGAAAAUCCUCUAAGGAGAGUAGUUGGGAACCGUACCCCAAACCGACACAGGUAGACGAGGAGAAUAUCCAAAGGCGCUCGAGUGAAAGCUUGUUAAGGAACUCGGCAAAUUAGACCCGUAACUUCGGGAGAAGGGUCGCCCACCUCUGGUGGGCCGCAGUGAAACGCGUACGGCGACUGUUUAACAAAAACACAGGUCUCUGCAAAGUCGAAAACGACGUAUAGGGGCUGACUCCUGCCCGGUGCUGGAAGGUUAAAAGGAGAGGUUAGCCGCAAGGCGAAGCUUUGAAUUGAAGCCCCAGUGAACGGCGGCCGUAACUAUAACGGUCCUAAGGUAGCGAAAUUCCUUGUCGGGUAAGUUCCGACCUGCACGAAUGGAGUAACGAUCGUACGACUGUCUUAACGAGUUGCUCGGCGAACUUGUAGUACCGGUGAAGAUGCCGGUUACCCGCAGCUAGACGGAAAGACCCCGUGCACCUUUACUACACCUUUACUAUGAAUUAUGACUCUUACUGCGCAGGAUAGGUGGGAGGCUUUGAUACCAGGCUCUUGGGCUUGGUGGAGCCACCGGUGAGAUACCACCCUGUGAGCGUUGUGAUUCUAACCUGCUCCCGUGAUCCGGGAGAGGGACAUAGUAAGGCGGGUAGUUUGACUGGGGCGGUCGCCUCCUAAAUUGUAACGGAGGCGCGCGAAGCUACUCUCAGACUGUUUGGAAAUCAGUCGUCGAGUGCAAAGGCAUAAGAGUGGUUAACUGUGAGACCUACAAGUCGAGCAGAUGCGAAAGCAGGCCUUAGUGAUCCGGUGGUUCUGUAUGGAAGGGCCAUCGCUCAACGGAUAAAAGGUACGCCGGGGAUAACAGGCUGAUCGGAGCCAAGAGUUCAUAUCGACGCUCCGGUUUGGCACCUCGAUGUCGGCUCAUCGCAUCCUGGAGCUGUAGAAGGUUCCAAGGGUUAGGCUGUUCGCCUAUUAAAGCGGUACGUGAGCUGGGUUCAGAACGUCGCGAGACAGUUCGGUCCCUAUCUGCUGUGGGCGUAGGAGAUUUGAGGAGGGCUGUCCUUAGUACGAGAGGACCGGGAUGGACGAACCUCUUGUGUUCCAGUUGUCAUGCCAAUGGCACGGCUGGGUAGCGAAGUUCGGUUGUGAUAACCGCUGAAUGCAUAUAAGCGGGAAGCACGCUCCAAGAUGAGAUCUCCCUGAAGGGCCCAGGAAGACCACCUGGUUGAUAGGCUGGAGGUGUAAGCACAGUAAUGUGUUCAGCUUACCAGUACUAAUCGCCCGUUCGGCUUGUCCAU
rnacentral:rRNA from 1 species